CCUACGGGGUGCAGCAGUGAGGAAUAUUGGUCAAUGGACGAGAGUCUGAACCAGCCAAGUAGCGUGAAGGAUGACUGUCCUAUGGGUUGUAAACUUCUUUUAUAUGGGAAUAAAUUGGUCCACGUGUGGGAUUUUGUAUGUACCAUAAGAAUAAGGAUCGGCUAACUUCGUGCCAGCAGCCGCGGUUAUACGGAGGAUCCGAGGGUUAACCGGAUUUAUUGGGUUUAAGGGGAGGCGAGGUGGAUUUAUUAGGUAGGUGGGAAAGUUUGCGGGACAAACGGAAAAGUGCAGUUGAAACUGGCAGUCUUGAGUACAGUAGAGGUAGGCGGAAUUCGUGGGGUAGCGGUGAAAUGCUUAGAGAUCACGAAGAACUCCGAUUGCGAAGGCAGCUGACUGGACUGCAACUGACACUGAGGCUCGAAAGUGUGGGUAUCAAACAGGAUUAGAUACCCCAGUAGUC
rnacentral:rRNA from 1 species